UCUGUGGGACAAUGCCUGAGCUGGCCCUGGUGCAGAAGCAGAGCUGUGGUGAGCUCCAGAUCCUGAUCCUGUGCUCUUCAGACCCAGUCCUUUACACUGAGCUGAUGAGUAUAUGGAGGGUGCCUGCAAAGUGUAGGAGAGAGGUCAGAGAUGGCUCCAGGCAGUGGAGGAAGAAGUGCAAGAAG